AUUGAACGCUGGCGGCAGGCCUAACACAUGCAAGUCGAGCGGAGCGGCGGACGGGUGAGUAAUGCCUAGGAAUCUGCCUGGUAGUGGGGGAUAACGUCCGGAAACGGGCGCUAAUACCGCAUACUAUCAGAUGAGCCUAGGUCGGAUUAGCUAGUUGGUGGGGUAAAGGCCUACCAAGGCGACGAUCCGUAACUGGUCUGAGAGGUGGAUCAGUCACACUGGAACGAAGAAACGGUCCAGACGCCGACGGGAUGCAGCAGUGGGGAAUGUUUGACGAUGGGCAUAAGCCUGAUCAGACCAUGCCGCGUGUGUGCAGAAGGUCUUCGGAUGGUAAACCACUUUAAGUUGGGAGGCGUUACCAACAGACUAAGCACCGGCUAACUUCGUGCCAGCCGCCGCGGUAAUAC
rnacentral:rRNA from 1 species